GAAUCAAUGAUGACUAAAAUAAUGGAUCUCAUUGGAAUCUGAACAAAAUGAGUGACAAACUCACUUCUGUGAAACUAGGGUCC